rnacentral:rRNA from 1 species
AUUGAACGCUGGCGGCAUGCUUUACACAUGCAAGUCGAACGGUAACAGGCCGCAAGGUGCUGACGAGUGGCGAACGGGUGAGUAAUGCAUCGGAAUGUGCCCAGUCGUGGGGGAUAACUACUCGAAAGAGUAGCUAAUACCGCAUACGAUCUAUGGAUGAAAGCGGGGGACCGUAAGGCCUCGCGCGAUUGGAGCGGCCGAUGUCAGAUUAGGUAGUUGGUGGGGUAAAGGCUCACCAAGCCAACGAUCUGUAGCUGGUCUGAGAGGACGACCAGCCACACUGGGACUGAGACACGGCCCAGACUCCUACGGGAGGCAGCAGUGGGGAAUUUUGGACAAUGGGCGCAAGCCUGAUCCAGCAAUGCCGCGUGCAGGAAGAAGGCCUUCGGGUUGUAAACUGCUUUUGUACGGAACGAAACGGCUCUGGUUAAUACCCGGGGCUAAUGACGGUACCGUAAGAAUAAGCACCGGCUAACUACGUG